AGACUACUCAAGAUAAUAUACAACCACCAUUCACAGAGAGGAAAUCAACAUUUUCAACCUAUGGACACAUCAUGAAAAAUACAAACAAACAUUCAAACUUUGGUGCUUUUAUCUUGUGACGAACAAAUGGAAUAGAGAGUAUAACAAUGCUCGUGUAUGAUCAGACUGAUUUUGUCCCUAAAAAUCAAGUAUUGAUGACUUGUCAUGAUUGGGUUAUAGAUCUUUCAAUUCAAAUGUCAAAAUAUGCAACGACAAUUUCUUUGUAAGCUGAAAAUAUCAG
rnacentral:lncRNA from 1 species